UAAGAAUGUGUGAUAGUGGGGUAAGUGUGUAUGGCUUUAUGUGUGCGCAUGUGAGUGUGUGGAUGCUGAAGGAAAGAUCCAGCGUACCAAUAAACCUGGUUCUCAGAAAGCUUCUGUUCAGUUAAUGUCCACCUUAGAAGUGAAAAAAGGUUGUGGCCACACAGUUCAGGAGUGAUUAUUUAUUCUGUUCCUAUUUAAUAGAUGGAAAUAAACUUUUGAAAUAUGAAUUAAGUAUUAUGUUACAAUGUGAUGAGAGUAAAUAAACAGUUACAGAAUAUGUUACUAUGUAAUAAAAUGAAAACAUGUGUUUUCUUCUCUGCUCCUUAAUAAUGGAAUAAAAUGCAGCUUUGUUAUGCCUGGAGAUCCGCAUAUUGUCUUAAAUGUGUACACGCGCCUUUAACUUAUGAGUACCGCACGUGCGAACAUGAUCGAUCACGUGACAGCCGGAAACGGGUCGUGAAAUAGUUAAAAUGGUGAUGAAAUACCGAGUGAAAUGUGUGUUUUAAGCACACCGAACUCAUAGAUGGAUAGAAGUCAACUCUAUUUUAGGAUACCGUAAUUUAAUAAAAGGUUAACGGACUGAAAGGUGUAACCGGAAGUUGUCCUCUCCUCAGUCUGUCUGACUUGAUGCUGACUAAAACCGCCUUCGACACCGUUUACCUCCGCGGCCCAGCCGACAAAUUAUGAUCCCGGAGAAGAACCAGCAGCAGCGGCCGCACCACGGGCCCAGACCAGCGGUCCCCAGCUCUGUCGCUGAGCUAUGAGCAUGCCACCGCUCCGGCUUCUUCGUCUCAGUCUGACCGAUAUUCAGUUACCAGCAAAAUGUAUUUCAACCGGAGAGCCAAGAAGAUACACAGCGAGGGAGAGCAGUUAGUGUUGACCACCAUUAGGCAGGAGGCUUCUGAACUACAGGACCCAGACCUGGGUGCUGGUGCUACCAUGCGUGCCCGCCUCACAGACAGGUUUGACAAAAGUGAGUUUGCUCUUACCAGACUGGAUGAUGCCCCAUUUGUGUUUGGAGUC